GACGAACGCUGGCGGCGUGCCUAACACAUGCAAGUCGAACGGAAAGGCCAUGCUUUUGUGGGGUGCUCGUGUGGCGAACGGGUGAGUAACACGUGAGUAAACUGCCCUUGUCUUUGGGAUAACUUCAGGAAACUGGGGCUAAUAUCGGAUAGGAGCUCCUGCUGCAUGGGGGGGGUUGGAAAGUUUCGGCGGUUUGGGUUGGUCUCGCGGCUUAUGCGCUUGUUGGUGGGGUAGUGGCUUACCAAGGCUUGGACGGGUAGCCGGCCUGGAAGGGUGACCGGCUCCAGAGUGCUACGGGAGGGACCAGACUCCUACGGUAGGCAGCAGUGGGGAAUAUUGCACAAUGGGCGGAAGCCUGAGGCAGCAACGCCGCGUGCGUGAUGACGGCCUUCGGGUUGUAAACCGCUUUCGCCUGUGACGAAGCGUGAUUGACGGUAAUGGGUAAAGAAGCACCGGCUAACUACGUG
rnacentral:rRNA from 1 species